rnacentral:rRNA from 1 species
GACGAACGCUGGCGGCGUGCUUAACACAUGCAAGUCGAACGAAAAGAGGGAAAGAGCUUGCUCUUUCCGGAAUUGAGUGGCAAACGGGUGAGUAACACGUAAACAACCUGCCUUCAGGAUGGGGACAACAGACGGAAACGACUGCUAAUACCGAAUAAGUUCCAAGAGCCGCAUGGCCCAUGGAAGAAAAGGUGGCCUCUACCUGUAAGCUAUCGCCUGAAGAGGGGUUUGCGUCUGAUUAGCUGGUUGGAGGGGUAACGGCCCACCAAGGCGACGAUCAGUAGCCGGUCUGAGAGGAUGAACGGCCACACUGGAACUGAGACACGGUCCAGACUCCUACGGGAGGCAGCAGUGGGGAAUCUUCCGCAAUGGGCGAAAGCCCUGACGGAGCAACGCCGCGUGAGUGAUGACGGCCUUCGGGUUGUAAAAACUUCUG